GAUGAACGCUAGCGGCAGGCCUAAUACAUGCAAGCCGAACGGUGUAGCAAUACACAGUGGCGCACGGGUGCGUAACAUGUAUGCAACCUACCUUACAUUGGGGGAUAGCUUUUCGAAAGGGAGAGUAAUACCGCAUAAGACAGUAACUAGGCAUCUAGUAGCUGUUAAAGAUUUAUCGAUGUAAGCUGGGAAUGAGUCAAACUAGUUAGUUGGCGAGGUAAUGGCUAGCCAAGACGAUGAUUGGUAGGGAAACUGAAAGGUCAAUCCCCCACACAGGCACUGAGAUACGGGACAGGCUCCUACAGGAGGCAGAGGUAGGGAAUAGUGGGCAAUGGGCGCAAGCCUGACCCAGCCAUGCCGCGUGCAGGAAGAAGGCGUUAUGCGUUGUAAACUGCUUUUAUACAGGAAGAAACGACCCUUGCGAGGGGCAUUGACGGUACUGUAUGAAUAAGCACCGGCUAACUCCGUGCCAGCAGCCGCCGUAAGAC
rnacentral:rRNA from 1 species